rnacentral:rRNA from 1 species
CCUACGGGAGGCUGCAGUCGAGAAUCAUUCACAAUGGGGGAAACCCUGAUGGUGCGACGCCGCGUGGGGGAAUGAAGGUCUUCGGAUUGUAAACCCCUGUCAUGUGGGAGCAAAUUAAAAAGAUAGUACCACAAGAGGAAGAGACGGCUAACUCUGUGCCAGCAGCCGCGGUAAUACAGAGGUCUCAAGCGUUGUUCGGAAUCACUGGGCGUAAAGCGUGCGUAGGCUGUUUCGUAAGUUGUGUGUGAAAGGCGCGGGCUCAACCCGCGGACGGCACAUGAUACUGCGAGACUAGAGUAAGGGAGGGGGAACCGGAAUUCUCGGUGUAGCAGUGAAAUGCGUAGAUAUCGAGAGGAACACUCGUGGCGAAGGCGGGUUCCUGGACAUUAACUGACGCUGAGGCACGAAGGCCAGGGGAGCGAAAGGGAUUAGAUACCCGGGUAGUC